GCCUUAUGCAUAGAGUAAUGUUGUGGAUUUUGAGUAAUUCCCAAUUUUUAUAAUGCAAUUUGAAGGAAAGAGGUUACACUGUGCUUAAGGAACAAGAUUGCCAUUUGACAAAUACGAGGUUCAAAUCUCUUGGAAAGUUAAGGAUGCAAAUGUCAAUCUGAUCAUACUGAUAGAAGGAUUUUUAGUUUUCAAAAACUCCUUCAAACUAAUGAUUCCAUUGACAAAGCCAUGACCUUUUCUUUCUACCAUGUUUCUGUAAAUGAGGCAGUUAUCCACCUCCAAUGAUUUUGCUAUAAAUAAGCCACUAAGCUGUAGUAUUCCCAGUUUCCUGCCGGCUAUCUGUGUGUCCUCCUGGGGUUAUAUGUGGUUUAUCCUGCUUGAGCUGUUUCUUUCAGCCUUCUGCUCUGUUGAAAAAUGAACAUCUUGUUUACAGACUGCAAUACAGUGUUGCUUUUCAUGUGUCAAUCAAAUGUUAAACUUUGUGAAUGUUUUGUCACUGGUUGUUUUAUGUAUCUGUUGCCAUUGUGUGUAAACUAAGGUGUUUACUUUUAACCCUGAUAUGUCAAAAGGAACCACCAUAAACUGGGACUACUUUGGGACUGGUAGGGUAAUAUUAGGUCAGCGAUCCUUCAAUGUGCAGGCCGCAACUUGUGAGAUACCAUGUUGCUUCCGAGGUCUCUACUAGCUUUGAUCUUUGCUGCCAUCUAUUGGCCAUCUCCAAAAUUUCCACAUACCACCUGUGCUAGGCAGCAGCCAUUUUCGUAUUCGUGCCAGUGGUGACAAGUGAUAAGCAUGCUGCAAACUUUCACAUACAAAAGUGGAACUACUUUUGGACCACAAAAGACAGGAACUGUCGGGAAGGCUUCUCAAAAGUAUGGAAUCCCAAAGAACACACCUCUACUAAAAGUUAAAGAAAGGCGUGGGGGACAGUUGGCAGGCAUUGUGUGUGUAGAGGAACGGUUUGUUUCCCGUGCAAUAGCUUUAUCAAGUUUUGGAUUUCCCAUGCGGACAUUUGACCUCUGAUGCAUGGUAAAGGCGUGCCUUGACAGAUGUAACAGGAAGGAAGCCAGAUUUAAAAACAACUUCCCUGGAAUAGACUGGGCAAGACAAUUUAUGCAAGGGCACAAUGCUGUUUUGACACUCGGGCUGACGAAAAACAUCAUGUAUGCAAGAGCAGAAAAUGACAAAGAAAUCAUGAAUGCAUUCUUUGACAAUCUGGAGAUAGAGAUGGAAGAUGUUCCAUCUGUGAAUUUGUGGAAUUAUGAUGAAAUCAAUUUAGUUGAUGAACCACAGGGUUCAAAAAUAAUUACUAAAAGGGGAACAAAGUAUCCUGAACAAAUACAGAAUUUGUCAAAAACAUGCAACUCCUUAAUAGUGUGUGGUAAUGCAGUGGGAACACUUGCCCCCCUUAUCUUAAAUUACAAAGCUGAAAAAUUGUGAGACACAUGGAUGGAAAAUGGGCCACCAGAAGCUAGGUAUAACGGAACCAAGAGUGGGUGGUGUUACAGUAAGUGCCUAUAGGAUUGGCUAUCCAGUUACUCCUGCCUAUCUUAAAACAAAAUGGUGUUAAGCUUAUUAUAGGUGACAACCUGAGCUUGCCUAUUAAUCUUGAAGUGCUCUGGUUGUGUGAAGAAUAUAACAUAAAACUCAUUGCACUGCCACUGAAUGCAACCCACUCUUUGCAACUGCUUGAUGUUGCAUACUUUCAACCUUUGAAAGUACAGUGGCAGAAGAUCCUUGGGGACUGGAAACAGACAGCAGUGGGCAGCAGGUGUAGCUCUGGGCCCAAGGACAAAUUCCCCACCUUGCUCAAGAAGCUGUGGAAAUUCAUGACCUCAAGAGGAGAUAACUUGUUCAGAAAACUGGCAAAUACCCCUUGAAUUGCCAAAUUAUGCUGGAAAGGAUUCCGUCAUUCAUGAUGGCUCAGUAAACAAACCUCACUGCAGUCACCGGUGACACCUUCAGUUAUCAACUCGUGCAGAAGCAAAAUGAAGCAAUUCAGAAGCGUCAGACUGUGAUAUGCAAAAGGGUAAAUGUUCCUGCAGGGAAGAGCAUUUAUGCAGCUGAUGUUCUUGCUGGCAAGAUGAACGAGCCAUCCACUUCAGUAAAAGGAACUAAAACUGCACAGAGAGCUCCUCAUCUGGCAAAGACAAUGGUAAACAAAGAGGACACGGACAAUGGUACUGACGAGAGAUCGUCUUCUGUUCCUUAUAGAAUUGGAUGACAGUGUAACCAUGGAUGUUGAGGAUGAAGAAGAUGGGUCUAAAGACACUGAUUAGCCUGUACCAACCCACUUGGUUGUGUCCCAUGGGAACCAAACAGAGAAUGUGUGCUGUUAGAUGUACGUACUUAUUCCAUAUGAAGGUAAACUGUAUCCAGGAUAAGUCACAGAAAGAACAACAGAGGGUUAUGUGGUCUGCACCAUGGAAAAAUGUGUGGAAAAAUGUGGAAACAAGUGGAAGUGGCCCGAGAAAUAGGAUCUUCUAGAAUAUGUUGCAGAAGGCAUUUCCAAAUCAUCAGCCCGUUGGAGAAAAUUGGUCAUCAAGGUAUUUUUUAUGUUAAGGAGUUGGGACUGUACGUGCCGGACUGAAUUUUCCGAGAUGUCUUUUUUUAUUUUUUGGUGAUUUGCAUUUUUUCAUGAUUUAUUAUCUGGUCACAGUUACCCAUUAAUUUCUCAAAUUCUUUAAUGUGUGUAAUUAUUAAUUUUUUCAGAAUUUCUAUGUUACUAUUACUUUUAAGUCAUUGUGGUAGAGCCAGUAUUAUCCAAAUAAAGAGUUGAUAGUCUAACAUU